CCGAGUGCUGGGAUUAAAGGCGUGCACCACCAAUGCCCAGCUAAGUCUCAUAGUCUUUAAAAAUUCAGGCAUUAAAAGUUCUAUCUCUUUAAAACACCCAAAGUCUCUCUCAAAGUUCAAAAGCCUCUGGAUGAUGGCUCCUGUUAGGCCAAACAUAAGAUACAUGCUUUCUAAUUAUACCAAGGAAAAACCGUCACAUAGUCACAACUAAAUCAAAGUGAAACCUUUGCUUUGCUAUGACAAUUGAUGCUGUCAGGUGGGGAUGGUUAAGAAGAAGCCAGCAUCACUGAGAUGAGAUCUGGGAAUAUUUCCCCAGGGUUAGCACACAGAAGCUGUGGUCCAGAAGGGACCCAGGCUUCAUCUCAUACUGGCAGUUGAACUUGGUAAAGUUUAAGAGUAACGCAGGAGAUACUAGUUUUGCAGGCAUGAGGGGUCAUGGAGAGCAGCCCAGGCUUGGCAUUAUGUGGCAGGGCUGGAGUCCCAGCAGAGAGCCUAGGAGAGGCUGUCAGUGGAGACGAAGUCCAGUUGUAGAGGAGACUCAGGCAUACUAUGGAGAUACCAGUACUAUGGUUGGAGCAGACCUGAGCCUACAGGACAAGCCAUGUGUGCUUUGAUAUGCUUGCUGCCAAGGCUCUUUGGAACCCACAGGAUCAUAAGUAGGUCCAGACACCUAGCACUCAACUUUUUACAUCGUUGAAUUUUGGUUUGGCUGAUUUUUCAGCCCCAGCUGAACCACCGAGUCUUAAUUCCAAACAUCACUCCAAGAGCCCUUCCAGAGUCUUUCCUUUGAAACUUCACAAACUGCCCUCAGGCUCUAAGUGCUCCUUACCUUAGGUAUAUGUCCCACUGACUGUAGCUUCUAGUCAAAUGUGACCUGUCCUCAUCUUCUCUUGUUUAAUUAACAUUUUCACAGACAGGAAGCCCCGCCUCCCUCACUUCCUGUUACAUGUUUAUAACACUCCCUAACACAGAGUGGUGAGCAAGUGUUAUUUCAUCUUCACAGCAUCCUGAACCCAACCCCACUUUGAGACAGAGCUUUGCUAUAUAUCCUAGGCUUUCCAAGAAUUCUGGAUCCCCGUGCCUCAGCCCCUAAGUAGCUGGGAUUACAGGCCUGUGCCAUCCUUCACAACCAGCAUAGCUCAUCUUUAAGGAAUUCUCUUCCUUCGCUAUGACCCAAUGGAGCUGUGAAUUGUGGUGCUGCGGGAGGCUGGUUAGUGGGAAUUCUCCAUCCUCUGACUUCAGAGAGGGUUGCAGGGACAAGCACAUACUUACCCAGAACUGACUAGUUGGGGUGGAGAUUUGCUACAUUUGUGUACACAGAGAGAAGUCUUUCUUCUGAGUCUGGAAGCUAUAAGGAUGUUGUAGCCAGGGAGUUCUGUCCAUCUCUCUCUACAUGGAGGAAGGGCCGCCUAAUGGAAGGGAAUAAACCCACCCUAAACAGUUCAGGGUUAGAAAGAAUCAUAGUUGACAUAGUUGACAUAUUGGGUGCUGACUUCAGGCCAGGCCAUAUUACAAACACUUGGUGUGGAGAAUCUUGACUCCCCACAGGGCCCUCUGAGGUGAACUAAUUAUGGAUGCCACCUCACAGAAAGGGACACAGUGGGGGAGGGGGGUUGCCUAGCAUGCAGGAAACCCUGAAUUGUUGCAGGGUGAGAAUUCGAGAUUUCUCCCCACUUUACAAGGUGAGAAAUGACCCCUGGGCCCCAGGAUUGAAUCCCAAGAGAAGUGCUGGCUCCAACCAAGGGAUGAAGAAAAUCAAACAGGAGAAUCAAGAGUUAAGCAAUGGGUUUAACACCACCCACCUAUGUAGGUUGCUGGAGCCAAGAUUUGAACUCAGGCUGUGGGAUUCCAAAGCUGUCAAGCUGUGCUGCCUUAUAAGCCGAGAUGAACAUUAAGGAAGCUGAAGGGUUUAUACUCAUGAGCAAGUGUGAGAACUGACAGCAUGGUAGGAGUACCUGGCUCUGGGCAAGCCUGGAGUCAGCUGACUGUGCUUUCUAGUUAAGUAAGCCAAUGCAUUCCCCGUUUUGCUUAAAAUAGUUUAUACAGCAGUCACUUGCAACUGUCUGAAUUUGUUGUGGAACGACUAGUCUUAGAGAGAGGGAAGCUUCAAACUCCUGGCUGCAUCCUGGCUCUACCCUUCACACUGAGAGGACAAGUCACUUGACCUCUUAGAUCCCUGCAGGUAAAUGACAGGCUCUUGAGGCAGCUGUGACUGGAGAUGAAAUUACGUGUAAAUGCAUUUAACACUCUGCUAAUAUAAUUUAAGUAGUCGGUAAUUGUUGGAACUCCCCCUUCCCUCUCCCCGUUAGGAGUAGGUGCUCAAUAGCAUUUGUUGAAUUGAAUUAAGUCCUCUAGAGGCUGCAGGAUGCUGCCUGAGUUUGAAAGCUGCAAGGAGCUGCCGAAUCACCAAUCAGGAGGCUUCUCAGUCUAAGUGGCGCCUAACAGCUCUAUUUGGCUGUUUUGAAAGAAAGAAAGAAAGAAAGAAAGAAAGAAAGAAAGAAAGAAAGAAAGAAAGAAAGAAAAUCUGCCUUUCCCUUCUGUUCUCCUGGUAGCCGCCUUCUCCCUGGCGUUCAGUCUCUCCACAGAAGAGAAAAACAAAGCAAAACAGUGUUUGCAGCAGGGACCUCAAGAGGUAGCCCGGACUCUCCCAUCUCUCUGGUCUCCACCCACUCACCAAGCCCUACUGAUGCUGCUGCUUCUUCCUUUUCCCUCCUGCCCGUGCCCUUGCUUGCAUGCUUCACUUUUCUGGGUGCUUGCCUCUUCCUCACUGGCCUCCAGCCUGCCAACACCACGCCAAGAUCCAGAGACACCAUGCUCAAAAGUACCAAACCUCUGUUGGCUUAGAACUGCAUGCAGGAUGACGUCAAGCUUGGGUGGACGUACAUGGUCCUCCUCGGUAGCCGGCGCUGCCUGGGUGGCCAGGCUUGGUUCUGCCAUGCUAUUUCAAGCCUCCAUGCUCGCUCACGCCUUUCCCUCAGCUUGAACACUCAGGGCACCUACGCCCCCACCCUCUACUCUUACUCAUUCUUCAAGCGCUCUCUCUCUCUCUCUCUCUCUCUCUCUCUCUUUCUCUCUCUCUCUCUCCCUCUCUGGAAAUACUCACUCAGCGCUCAUACCUACUCUGUGGGCCAAGGAUGCUUCCUCUCUGUGCUCCCACAGCGUCCUGCAUGAUUCCGCCUUCUUAUUGUUUUGACCUGAUCACACCGCCCUUGUUAAAAGCACUUUAAGGCAUGUAGUGAUGAAUGGUGAUGAAUGGCUCUAUUAGUACCCGCGACCUUACACAGUGCCCUGCACCCAGAACCUCCCACCUGCAGACAGCUUGCAAGCUGUAAGUAAAGGGACCAGGAAGGAAAAGGAAGAGGCUGAAUUUUAGCCAACAGAACCUCUGCUUGCUUUUCUUGGUUGAGUUGUCCCGUGUACCCCUCCCCCACCUUCUCACAGAAAAUACCGCAGGUUUAGGGAUUAAUUUCUGAGAACUCCCCUGGCCCUUUCUCACCUUGUAAAGUUCGGAGGGGUUUCAUUUCCUCACUUAACAAGCUGGGAAACUUUGGCAGUGGAAGAGGGAAAGGAAACUUUCGGGGAUGCCCUAGGGCUGUUCAAUUGUUCAAAUUACUGUCUGUCCCUCCUUGCAGCUUUGGGUUCUGUACAAUUGAGUGGAGACCUCUGACUACCUUAAAACAGCCCCCAUUUCAGUUUGAGAAAGGAUGAAGUUAUUUCCUUACAACUAAAUAUAGAGCGUGAGUCUGUGCUGAUGCAUAACUUAGGCAAAUGCAUGCAAAUCCCUCGUGGGCUGGGGGGAUCCCUGUCUUCUGAGUCAUCCAGCCAGAGUUCUCUCCUUGGGGACCUCCAGUCACAGACCUGAUACUGACCCAGCUGGAUUUCGGAGGCACCCCUGAUCUGGCUUCGAGACCCUGGCUGUAUCUGCUCUCCGUUAAACCAUCCACCAAGUCAAACCAAACAUGGCAGAAGACAUCCUGGCCUUUGGAACCACCCUUUACCCUCCAUCUCUCCCCCUUUUCCUCCUGUCUCUCUGUCUUCUCCCCCUCCUCUCUGUCUGCUCCUUCCUGAUGGAAAUUUGGCCUCUACCUGCCCUUGUGACUGGAAAAAGCAGCGUCAGUUCAUCAAAGCAGAACAAGGCUGCUACUUAGUGUCCUUGAUCUAUGGGUUACCAGGAAGGCCCAGGGUUACCCAGCCCUCUCUGGUCCCCGCCAGAAGUGGGGGUGGGGGCUCUUCAGCAGGUGUGAGGCCUGCCUGUGGCAGAGAACGUCAUCAAAUGGUCAGCUGCCUCCUGGUGGAUGCUGGCACUAAGCCUACUGUCUCCCUUGCUAUCACUUGGGGGUUCUUUGGGCAGAUGGACGGAAGAGGCAGGGACAUGUACAGCUAGGAGGAGGUCUUCUGGGGCCAGAGGCCAUUGUUCAGUAGACC
rnacentral:lncRNA from 1 species